UGAUUAGUGAAAUUAUUUAACAUUACCAGUACUACAGUCCGGAAAGGUCUGAUUAAGGUUGAAGUGUCAAGUGGUAUAUUUGUUUUAAGCUGUUGUGAUAUGCCAAGAAAAAUUACUCUGAUGUCACUUAAUUCACUCCAUCAUUAUGAAGGAAUUAAGAAUACAAUGGUCCGCUUCUUAUCUGCUGUUCUGCUAUCUUCAGUUUCUGUCACCCACAGUCAACCGCAGUCUAAAAACAUUAAGUGUAAAAUUCUAGAAAUAAACAACUUACAAGUUUUAAA